UACGUAGGGGGGCAAGCGUUGUCCGGAUUUAUUGGGCGUAAAGCGCGUGUAGGCGGCCACGCAGGUCCGCUGUGAAAACUCGAGGCUCAACCUCGGGCUGUCGGUGGAAACCGCGUGGCUAGAGUCCGGAAGGAGGGGACUGGAAUUCCCGGUGUAGCGGGUGGAAUGCGCAGAUAUCGGGAGGAACACCCGUGGCGAAGGCGGGUCCCUGGGACGGUACUGACGCUGAGA
rnacentral:rRNA from 1 species